rnacentral:rRNA from 1 species
AGAGUUUGAUCCUGGCUCAGAACGAACGUUGGCGGCGUGCUUAACACAUGCAAGUCGAACGAGAACGGUUUCUUCGGAAACUUAGUACAGUGGCGCACGGGUGAGUAACGCGUAAGUAAUCUACCCUCGCAUCUGGAAUAACUACGGGAAGCUGUAGCUAAUACCGGAUACGUUUAUAGAGUUACGACUCUAUAAAGAAAGAUGGCCUCUUCUUGAAAGCUAUCGUGCGGGGAGGAGCUUGCGUACCAUUAGCUAGUUGGUAGGGUAAUGGCCUACCAAGGCAACGAUGGUUAGCGGGUCUGAGAGGAUGAUCCGCCACACUGGAACUGGAACACGGACCAGACUCCUACGGGAGGCAGCAGUGAGGAAUAUUGCGCAAUGGGGGCAACCCUGACGCAGCGACGCCGCGUGGAUGAUGAAGGCCUUUGGGUCGUAAAAUCCUGUCAGGUGGGAAGAAAUGCAUAUGGGUUAAUAUCUCUUAUGUUUGACGGUACCACCAAAGGAAGCACCGGCUAACCCCGUGCCAGCAGCCGCGGUAAUACGGGGGGUGCAAACGUUGUUCGGAAUUACUGGGCGUAAAGCGCGCGUAGGCGGUUUGUUAAGUCAGAUGUGAAAGUCCACAGCUCAACUGUGGAAGUGCAUUUGAUACUGGCAGACUUGAGUACUGGAGGGGGUGGUGGAAUUCCCGGUGUAGAGGUGAAAUUCGUAGAUAUCGGGAGGAAUACCGGUGGCGAAGGCGACCACCUGGCCAGAUACUGACGCUGAGGUGCGAAAGCGUGGGGAGCAAACAGGAUUAGAUACCCUGGUAGUCCACGCCGUAAACGAUGAGAACUAGGUGUUGGGGCGGUUAAUCGUCUCAUUGCCGGAGCUAACGCACUAAGUUCUCCGCCUGGGGAGUACGGUCGCAAGAUUAAAACUCAAAGGAAUUGACGCGGGCCCGCACAAGCGGU